GUGUGUGUGUGUGUGUGUGUGUGUGUGUGUGUGUGUGUGUGUGUGGACACGCGUGCCCGCGGCAAGGUUGGUGCACCAUUGUGUGUGUGUGUGUGUGUGUGUGUGUGGACACGCGUGUCCGCGGCAAGGUUGGUGCACCACUGUGUGUGUGUGUGUGUGUGUGUGUGUGUGUGUGUGUGUGUGUGUGUGUGUGUGUGUGUGGACACGCGUGUCCGCGGCAAGAUUGGUGCACCACCGGCCCGGGACGCUGUCACCGCCGCGCUCUGCUGCGGCCGUCGGGUGUGUGUGUGUGUGUGUGUGUGUGUGUGUGUGUGUGUGUGUGUGUGUGUGUGUGGACACGCGUGCCCGCGGCAAGGUUGGUGCGCCUCUCUGCGGUGAGGUAGGACCCACGCGCCGCAAUCACCACGCACCGCCCAGGUUCUCCGCAGUGCCCGGCCUGAGAAGAUGAGCUCUGCCAAACCCUUACACAAAAGUGAGGCUCUGAUCCAGAAAGGUCUGAGGAAACGGCCACCAUCGUAUUUAAAGGGCUCUGGGGCCACGGGGAUGUUGUUUCUCAGGAAAGGAGGAUACAGUCGGCUGAUUCAGAUGGGGCAGUUCAAGGACGCACCCUAAACACAUCGGCCUGACACAACAAAAGACUGUUACGGUCAUACCAGUGAUUUGCAUCUCGUGACCAUUCUCUAGCUCAGGUAAGUGUUGUCCUGUACUUUUAAUUUUCCUCUCAUUAGUCUGUGACAGAAACAACCAAAGUGGCUUGUUGAAGUAUGCCUGGUUCAGUGCUCUUCAAAUUGUAACCACAGAACAGUCUAUAAACAGCUAUCCCCAUAAGGAGAGAACAAAAAUCCAAGAUCACGUACAAACUUUUGCAGAAAUUGUCUAUUGAAAUCAAGUCAUUUGAAGUGUGGCCUUUUAUUUUUUCUCAUCUCCCCCAUUUUGUAUUUCUCUCUCUCUCUCUCUCUCUCUCUCUCUCUCUCUCUCUCUCUCUCUCUGUUUUGUACUAAAAUAUCAGCCUGCAACAAAUUAAGAAUAAAAUGCAGUUAAUCAUUAAUAUCUGUGGGAUCUGCACCCUCAGAUUCAACUACAGAUUGAAAAAUAUUUGAAAACAAAAUUAAGUCUGUUCUGAACAAGUAUGCUUUUCUUGUCUUUAUUUCAUUUAUACUACAGUCUAACAAAAUUACCAUUUACAUUGUGUAGAACUAGAUAACAAAUAAUCUAGGAAUAACUAAACCAUUAUCAUAUGUAAGAUGUAGGUAAGUUAUAUGCAAAUACUAUGCAAAUACUAUGUCAUUUGAUCUCAGAGUUUUCCGUCCUUAGAUUUUAGUGUAGCAGUGGAGGAUGGUCCGGAAGCCGAUCCCCUGUGGGCACUGAGGGAUAAGUGUACUACAGAGAGUUGGGAAGUUCUGAUCAUUUAGCCAAAAGGCAAGAACAAUGAGAGCUAACAUUUAACUAGUACUUCCUGUGUGGCAGAUGUUGCUUUAAGAGCCUUACAUAUAUUAAAUCUUUUCAUUCUCCUGGCAACCCUAGUAGGUAGGCACAGCAAAGUUAACCCACUCAGUCUGAAAGGGGCAGAGUCAGGUUUUAAAUGCAGGGUAUUUCCACAGUUUGUGCGUUUACCCAUGGUUCCAGACCUAUUUUCCUGAACUUCGAUAACUCACAUUCCAUCUCCAUGUAUCCGUGCCUCCUAUUAUAUAUAUAUAUAAAUUUAUACAUAUGAUAUAUAUGCAUGUAGUAUAUAUAGAUAGUAUAUAUAAUACAUUAUGUAUAUAUAAUAUAUAGGCUCACUUGUUUCAUAUAAAUGAGUAUAUGCCUUUGCAGUUAGUAAUUUCACUCAUGAAAUAGUUGGAUCAUCAAGCACUCAUUUUUGCCUGUUCCUGUAUUUCCAUUAACAUUUGGUUGUCUCUCUUGUGAUCCUUCUCCAGUUUUAAGAACACUGAUUCCAAGUGUACUUCUUGCCGGCUAGCAUCUACAUGUCAUGGUCAAACUACCACCUUCAGCUUCAGGAUGUCCUUUGCCUGGGCACAGGAUGGCUGGAAGUGCCUGAAGCAGUAUCCUGGAAAUGCCUUUCCUCAAGAAGUUCUAACGGCAGUUGGUUGAAAGAGGCACCUGUAAGGAAGUAAGGCUGGCGGCGCUGGUUGGAAAGACAAGCCCCUCUCAACGCAGAGAUGGUAGAAGCCUCAGCUGAGCCUACAGCCUCGUCAGGGACUGAAGCUGAUCUUGAAAGAACAAUAUUCAACCUCAUAUGGAAAAACAAAAAACCCAGGGUAGCUAAAACAAUCCUGUAUAGUAAAAGAACUUCUGGAGGUAUCACUAUCCCUGAUUUCAAGCUCUACUACAGGGAUAUAGUAAUAAAAACCUCAUGGUAUUGGCAUAAAAACAGACAGGUGGAUCAAUGGGAUUGAAUCAAACACCCAGAUGUAAACCCACACACCUAUCAACACCUGAUUUUCAACAAAGAAGCCAAAAAUAUUCAAUGGAAAAAAGAAAGCAUCUUCAACAAAUGGUGCUGGCAUAACUGGAUGUCAACAUGUCGAAGAUUGCAAAUAGAUCCAUGUCUGUCACCAUGCACAAAACUCAAGUCCAAGUGGAUCAAAGACCUCAACAUAAAUCCAGAUACACUGAACCUGACAGAAGAGAAAGUGGGAAAUAGCCUUGAAUGUAUUGGCACAGGAGACAACUUCCUGAACAGGACACCAAUAGUGCAGGCACUAUGAUCAGCAAUUAAUAAAUGGAACCUGAUGAAACUGAAAAACUUCUGUAAGUCAAAGGACACCAUCAAUAGGUCAAAACGGCAGCCAACAGAAUGGGAAAAGAUCUUCACUGACCCCACAUCCGACAGAGGGCUGAUUGCCAGAGUAUAUAAAGAACUCAAGAAACUAGACAUCAAAAAACCAAAUAAUCCAAUUUAAAAAUGGGGUACAGAUCUAAACAAAGAAUUCUCAACAGAAGAAUCUCAAAUGGCCAAGAAACACUUAAAGAAAUACUCAAUAUUCUUAGCCAUCAGGGGAAUGCAAAUCAAAACAACUCUGAAAUGCCAUCUUACACCUGUCAGACAGAAUGGCUAAGAUCAAAAACACAAGUGAGAGCUCAUGCUGGAGAGGAUGUGGAGCAAAGGGAACACUCCUCCAUUGCUGGUGGGAGUGCAAACUUGUACAGCCACUUUGGAAAUCAGUAUGGCAGUUUCUCAGAAAACUGGGAAUCAAUCUACCACAAGACCCAGCAAUACCACUCUUGAGUAUAUACCUUGUGGAUACUCAAUCAUACCACAAGGACACUUGCUCAUCUAUGUUCAUCACAGCUUUAUUUGUAAUAAAAAAAUAGUCAGAACCUGAAACAACCUAAAUGUCCCUCAACCAAAGAAUGGAUAAAGAAAAUGUGGUACAUUUACACAAUGGAGUAUUACCCAGCUGUUAAAAACAAUGACAUCAUGAAAUUUGCAGGCAAAUGAUGGAACUAGAAAAAAGUCAUCCUGAAUGAGGUAACCCAGACUCAGAAAGACAAACAUGGUAUGUACUCACUCAUAAGUGGAUAUUAGCUGUAAAAUAAGGAUAACUAUGCUAUAAUCCACAGACUUAGGUAACAAGAAGGGUUCAAGGAGGGGGGAAUACCCAGAUAUUCCUGGGAGGGGGAAAUAGAAGAGAUUUCAUGAAUGGACUUUGGGCAGGUGGGGAUGGGAACAUGAGUGAUCAGUUUGUGGGGGAAUGGAAGGGGACAGUACUGAAAAAGACUAUUGGAAAGGGGAGGAGCACUUCAGGGUCAGGUAGAAACCUGGUACAAGGGAAUCUCCCAGGAAUCUACAAGGAGGACCCCAGUUAAGAUUCCUAGCAAAAUCAGAUUUGUAGCCUGAACUGGCCAUCUCUUGUGACCAGGAAAGACUUCAAGUUGAGGAAUUGGGACACCAACCUAGCCACAUAGCCUUCAACCUACAGUCUGUCCUGCUUAUGGGAUGUGCUUAGGUAAGGGUGGCCUGGAGAUUGAGGGAGUGGCCAGCAAUGACUGGUCUAGUCUAAAACCCAUGCCAGGUGAGUAAGACUACCCCUGACACGGUCUGGAGUACCAGGAUCCACAGGCAGGAUGAGCCGGAGACCUAGGAUAGAACCAAACAUAACUGGAGGAAAAAAUGUCAAUGUAAUGAUGCCUAAUAAUAUUCUGCUAUACCCAAUUGUCAUCAGAGAGACUUCAUCUAGCAACUGAUGGAAACAGAUGCAGACCCACAGCCAAACAUUAGGUAGAGCUCAGGAAAUCCUGCAGAAAAUGAGGAGAAAAGAUUGUAGGAGCCAGAGGGGUCAAGGACACCACAAGAAAACUCACAGAAUCAACUAACCUGGGCUCACAGGGGCUCAUGGAGACUGAACCGAUAACCAGAGAGCCUGCAUGAGAUUGACCUAAGCACUCUGCAUAUAUGAGAUAGUUGUGUAGCUUUGUCUUCUUGUGGGACUCCUAACAGUAGGAGCAGGGACUAUCUACAACUCUUCUGCUGGCUUUUGGGACCCUACUCAUCAUACUGGGUCUCCUUGUCCAGCUUUAAUACAUGGGGAAGUACUGCAACUUGAUAUGCGAUGUUUUGUUGAUGUCCAUGGAAGGCCUGCCCUUUCCUGAACAGAAAUGUAGAAGGAGUGGAUUGAGGGGGUAGGGACAUAGGGAGAUUUGGGGGGCCUGAGAAGAGAGGAAGGAGGGGAAACAGCAGUCAGGUUGUAAAAUAAAUAAUCAUGAAACAUUAAAAGGGUGGGGCGGGGGAGUUAAGAGAAUGGCUUCUAAAGUCCCAAAUCUAUGAAAACCAAAUUUUACGUAAGAAGUGCCUUUUCCCCUUGUAUAACCUUUCUCCCCUUCCCAAAACAAGCAAAAUAAAUGACACUAUAGCCCAAGAUAGCUACUCUUUAAAAUGGAUUGCAGUUUGUAUGUGAAUGUAUUGUGAAUUUUUUGUUCUCUAUUCAAUGACACUCCUCUGUAAGCUUUUUGUCAAUGUUCAAUAACAUCAUUGUAACUAAAGCAUCAGUAGGAAAGGAUUCUGAAGAAUGGGGGAAGUGAGGCUGAGCAGUGAGCCCUUUUGAGAUCAGGUUCCAUAGACCGGAACAGUUGUGUAGGGAUCAGCUUCCCUCCCUGUGGUUUUUCACUUGUUCUGUUGCACACGGCUACUUUCUGUCUGAACCUGCCCUAGAUGUUAUGAAGAACUACCUUCUUCUGAGUAGUUUAGUGUUCCACAAACUGGUUUUUCUGCUCAGUCAGAGGCUGCCAUUUUGCCAUGUAAAAGUUAGCUAAGGGAGAAGCAGCUAGAGUCCUGGGAAUCCCUAAGUAGCCUGUUGUAACUCAGAUGCCCAAAAGAAAAAACUAUGAUCCAAUGAUAGCUACAGAUCAGAAGGCAAUUUAAUAUAGUUCCAUCCUCAAGUGAGUCUAGGUCAUCAAUUACUAACUCAGUAUAAGUUUUCUGUAUCACUACCAAGCUAGACCCUUGAUCUAGAGAGUGGAAGUCCCAAGUACUAUUGCCUAGAUGGUAAAUAUAUUGGCUCAAGAGUUCAUGAAUUUUCCAUCACUGGAGGAGUCAAUAGAUGGCCAAUCAAAAAAAAAAUGGAGAGCAAAUGAUAUGGGGAAACAUCCCAAAUGUCCAUUGUAGGAAACAGAGUGCCUCAAUUUCCAGUAUCUUACGAAGAAAUGGUACAUGGAAAAGAUGCCAUGAAUGUAUUUUUUGAACACUGAAAGUAUAUUUUAGAUUCAUAAGCAUAUAGAUUGCUUUAUGAAUAUAUUCGUAAUGAUUUUUUGGCAAAAUAUUAAAAAUUACUGUAGCUAGAGUUUUCCUGCCUGGCCCACAGUCAGGACAAAUCUCUCUCACCUGCCAGUCCCACAGCCUCAGACCCAACCAAGUAAACACAGAGACUUAUAUUGGUUACAAACUGUAUGGCUGUGGCAGGCUUCUUGCUAACUGUUCUUACAGCUUAAAUUAAUCCAUUUCCAUACAUCUAUACCUUGCCACAUGGCUCGUGGCUUACCGGCAUCUUCACAUGUUGUUUUUCAUCAUGGCGGCUGGCAGUGUCUCUCUCACCCAGCUUCCUGUUCUCUCAAUUCUCCUCUCUGUUAGUCCUGCCUAUACUUUCUGCCUGGCCACUGGCCAAUCAGUGAUUUAUUUAUUGACCAAUCAGCAACACAUUUGACAUACAGACCAUCCCACAGCACUUCCUCUUUUCUUUUCUUAAAAAGGAAGGUUUUAACCUUUACACAUCUCCAAAGUCAGCUUGGUAUAUUUGGGAAUUUGGGCGUAGCUUCUCUUACUACUUCCUGCUGGAGGGGGGCGCUAUAUCUUAUGGGGACACAAAGAAAAUUUUAGGAUUAUGGAAUAGUCCAUGAGGCUGUAUUGUCUGAGCCAGUUGCCUUCAAACCAUUCUGGAUGUUGGAUCAUCUGGGCCAUGGUGUCAUCCGAGACCUUUCAGGGGGCCUUGGCUGGUCAAACCUGAUGUAUCUUAAUCUGGAACAAAUCCAUAGCCUCUGGCUUUCUGUGGGAACAAAAGCAGAGAUUCCUUUCCAAGGCAACACAUCCUUAUAUCCAAAUUUUGAAGUCAAGGUACCUUUAAAAUAUACAUUUUGGCAUAACUCAACAGCUUUUACAAUCAAAUGUUUUUCUGCAGUUAAAAAUCCCAAAGACAACACAAUCCAGAUUCUCUGUGUAAUAUUCAUCUUUACGUGUCUUAAUCUCAGGGUCCUGGGUUCGUGCCCCACGUUGGGUGCCAUUUGUAGCUUGAGUUUUCCUGCCUGGCCCACAGUCAGGACAAAUCUCUCUCACCUGCCAGUCCCACAGCCUCAGACCCAACCACGUAAACACAGAGACUUAUAUUGGUUACAAACUAUAUGGCUGUGGCAGGCUUCUUGCUAACUGUUCUUAUAGCUUAAAUUAAUCCAUUUCUAUUAAUCUAUACCUUGCCGCAUGGCUCGUGGCUUACCGGCAUCUUCACAUGCUGUUUGUCAUCAUGGCGACUGGCAGUGUCCCUCUCAUCCAGCUUCCUGUUCUCUCAAUUCUCCUCUCUGUUAGUCCCGCCUAUACUUCCUGCCUGGCCACUGGCCAAUCAGUGAUUUAUUUAUUGACCAAUCAGCAACACAUUUGACAUACAGACCAUCCCACAGCAAUUACUUUCUUAGUGGAAUUUUAGAUAUCAGGCAAAUCUCUCUCUUCUUCCAUGCCUCCAUCAUACAAUUUUCACACAACCCAUCAAACUUCCAGAUACACAGAGACAUUGGGCCUGGCUUGAGCAUUUGAGACGUCAAACACCCCCACCCCCCAGUAACACACUUCCUCCAGCAAGGCCAUACCUCUUAAUCCUUGUCAAGUAGCACCACUCCCUGAUGCCCAAGGACUCAAAUAUAUGAGCUAUGGGGGCCAUUCCUAUCCAAACCAUCACACUUUAAAGUUUGUUUUAAGUUUUUUGUCCUUUAGGUCACAUAUUCUUCUUCUUUUUAGUAUUAAUUUUAAUGUUUUUUUUGAUAUUCAUAAAAUAUUUUAGAUUAAACUAUCCAUUCCAUAUGUAUAUUACAUUUUGUUAAAAAAUUGUCCAAAGCAUUGGAAGGAAAUAAUAGGCCUGUUGUCAGCUAACAUUUGUUAAGACCUUACUCUGUGUAAUGCACUGUGCUAAGAAUUUUAUACAUGUUAUUUCAUGAAUUGAAACCUCAACCAUCUUAAAAUUUUAUAGAUGAAAUAUUUGACACAAGUCUUACAGCAAAUGAAUAAAGUUAUAAAAUGUAAUUGCUUCCCCUGUAUUAUUGGGGGAUUGUUGUUUUUCCACUGGCACAGAGGCUGCAGCUGAAUCUACUGCUGUUUCAGUCAUAACUGUGGCUCUGCAGUUAUUGGCCUGCUUCUCAGGCAAUGGCCUAGUGGGACUUCUACAUCCCACCGAAUCCACCUCCUGCUGCUGCCACCAAAUGUAGUUUUUAAUGAAAUCUCUAUCAUCCUAUUUACUAAUAAAGACGUGGGAGUCAAAGGCUGGGGUGAAAACUUGCUGGUUCAGAGAGGUUGAGGAGGAACUAGCUGACCUUCCUUCUUCUCUGGCAUCCGAAAAACAGAGCAUCUCUUCUGAUGCUCCAAACCAAAAAGAACUGCCACACUCAAAGCCCCUCUCUACUGUGUAUCUCUAUCAGUUUUCCUGACUCCCAUUGACUCUCUAGGACACCAGACAUUAAUGGGGUAUGUACACAUACAUGUAGGCAAAACACUAAUACAUGUAGAAAGAGAAGGGAGGGAGGAAGGGAAGAAGGGAGGGAGGGAGGAGGGAGAGAGAAAUGAAGAAAGAAAGAAAAAAGGAGAAGGAAAGGAAGGAAAAGAAAGAAAGGAAGAACGAGUGAAAGAAGGAAAGAAAGAAAAAGAAACAUCAAAUAGGUCACAGAAAAGCAGGGAUUUGUCGGCCAUAGUCCUCAGAUCCUAUCUGGUGACAUUCUUAGCCUUUUAGCUGAUGUGAACUGGGGGUCUACUUAUACAUCCCAAAGGAUUUACCUUUUGGUCACAAAGAUGUGACCUUACCAAAAGUCACAUACAGAGGCAAGCAAUAAAUGGCUGUUAAUAAAUGCCCAAGGCUAAUUUGUCUCAAGACUUCCAUUUUUCCACCCUCCCCACCUCACUAACGUUGUGAAUUGUCAUUCCUCCUGGCCAAAGGCUCAAAGAAAGUGUGGUUCUUCCCAGGAGAUUCUGUUCAUAGUUCUCCCUGUUAGCCAGGCAUCACGUUGUGUGCAGGUAGGGGCCAAAUACUCAUUUCUCCUCAUGGGUAGGAAAAGCUCAUUCCCAGUAUGUGAUGUAGAUGAUGAUGAGAAGGUAAGAAAGCAGCCUUUAGGAGGAGAGAUGGUAAAGCCAUUAAGAAAAAAAAUUCCUGCAACAGAUUGUCAAAAUCUACUAGCCCUUGGGAUCUAAAUCAGAUUGUUAGUAUAUUUUAUUUAUUUUGUGUGCAUGUGUGUGCAUGUGUGCGGGUGCACUUGUGUCAAAGCCCAUAAGAGUGGGUCAGAGGACAACUUUUGAAAGUCAGUUCUCUCCUUCCACUUGUGAGUCCUAGGGAUUGAAGUGAUCUCAUCAUGCUUGGUGGCAAAUGACUUUACCUCUGAAUCAUCUCUACUCCUAUUUUUUUCUUUUUUUCUUUUGUCCUCUGUAUUUGACAUAACAUGUAACAUAUAAUAGGGAUAAUAUACCUAAAAUUAAAACAAUCAAGAACACUGGCCUACCAAAGAGAAGGUAACAGAUAAUGGAAAUAAACAUUUUAAACCACCAAAAUUUAUACAUUUCUAAACAUUAAAUUUUAUGUUUAGCAAUGUUUAUAUGUUUCAUAGUUAUUUAUGAAACUGUGAACAGUUUU